rnacentral:rRNA from 1 species
GAUGAACUCUGGCGGCGUGCCUAAUACAUGCAAGUCGAGCGAACAGACGAGGAGCUUGCUCCUCUGACGUUAGCGGCGGACGGGUGAGUAACACGUGGAUAACCUACCUAUAAGACUGGGAUAACUUCGUGAAACCGGAGCUAAUACCGGAUAAUAUAUUGAACCGCAUGGUUCAAUAGUGAAAGACGGUUUUGCUGUCACUUAUAGAUGGAUCCGCGCCGCAUUAGCUAGUUGGUAAGGUAACGGCUUACCAAGGCAACGAUGCGUAGCCGACCUGAGAGGGUGAUCGGCCACACUGGAACUGAGACACGGUCCAGACUCCUACGGGAGGCAGCAGUAGGGAAUCUUGCGCAAUGGGCGAAAGCCUGACGGAGCAACGCCGCGUGAGUGAUGAAGGUCUUCGGAUCGUAAAACUCUGUUAUUAGGGAAGAACAAAUGUGUAAGUAACUAUGCACGUCUUGACGGUACCUAAUCAGAAAGCCACGGCUAACUACGUG